AACGAACGCUGGCGGCAUGCCUAACACAUGCAAGUCGAACGAGACCUUCGGGUCUAGUGGCGCACGGGUGCGUAACGCGUGGGAACCUGCACUUAGGUUCGGAAUAACUCCCCGAAAGGGGUGCUAAUACCGGAUAAUGUCUUCGGACCAAAGAUUUAUCGCCUUUGGAUGGGCCCGCGUUGGAUUAGCUAGUUGGUAGGGUAAAAGCCUACCAAGGCGACGAUCCAUAGCUGGUCUGAGAGGUUGAUCAGCCACACUUGGACUGAGACACGGCCCAGACUCCUACGGGAGGCAGCAGUGGGGAAUAGUGGACAAUGGGCGGAAGGCUGAUGCAGCAAUGCCGCGUGAGUGAUGAAGGCCUUAAGGUUGUAAAGCUCUUUUACCCGGGAUGAUAAUGACAGUACCGGGAGAAUAAGCUCCGGCUAACUCCGUG
rnacentral:rRNA from 1 species